rnacentral:rRNA from 1 species
GAUGAACGCUAGCGGCAGGCCUAACACAUGCAAGUCGAGGGGUAGAGGAAGCUUGCUUCCUUGAGACCGGCGCACGGGUGCGUAACGCGUAUGCAAUCUACCUUUUACAGAGGGAUAGCCCAGAGAAAUUUGGAUUAAUACCUCAUAGUAUUUUCGAAUGGCAUCAUUUGAUUAUUAAAGUUCCAACGGUAAAAGAUGAGCAUGCGUCCUAUUAGCUAGAUGGUAAGGUAACGGGUUACCAUGGCAACGAUAGGUAGGGGUCCUGAGAGGGAGGUCCCCCACACGGGUACUGAGACACGGACCAGACUCCUACGGGAGGAAGCAGUGAGGAAUAUUGGACAAUGGGCGCAAGCCUGAUCCAGCCAUGCCGCGUGCAGGAAGACGCAUCUAUGGUGUGUAAACUGCUUUUGUACGGGAAGAAACACUCCCUCGUGAGGGAGCUUGACGGUACCGUAAGAAUAAGCCCCGGCUAACUUCGUGCCAGCCGCCGCAGUAACAC